GAAGUGAAGAAGAAACGCUAUUGUUGUUCAGACUACCGAAAGCGUCGGUUGAUGCGUUCGAACCUCAGAUAAUAAAAAGAAGUUUAUUUUGACAAUACGUGUAUGUACCUCAUUCGCGACGUGGACGGUUCAAGGGUUUAGGCAGACAACCGUCUAACCACUUUCUUACAAAGGCACAGUGCACAGAACCACAUGGAAGAAACAUGCUUAAUCAUGUUAAAUCUCAACUGAAAUUGGAGGACCGGUAGGACGUCGUGCAGAGGGUAAAAAUUUGUUUCCCACGUCCCACGGUUCUUUUAUCACUGACUCCAUACAGCAGUCAAUCAAGUGCCAUCGAAUUGUGAACGAUGUAAAGUGUAAAAACUAACUAUGAUGAGCUUAGUGAAAUUGUGUUUGUACUGUGCUGUGAUUUUAAACGACAAAUUUGAAAAACAAUGCAUUAGCUCAACUUUCGAAAAUGUCAACAGAAUUAAAAUGAAACUUGUUCGCUGAUCGUUGAUGCAGAAAUGGCGGAAUCGUUGCAUCAAUUCAGGUGGUGUUCUUCUUCAGAACACCCCGUGAAACAUACUGAACCACUGUUAAUACAGUGGAUUCAGCAGCUGGCGAAACAUUGUAAUUUAGAAAAAUGGAAGAAUUGUCGAUCAUCGAUGUAGCUGGAGCAGUUCGUGCUGCCUUGGUCACAAACUGAGGCUACAACUACAAUGCCGGCCUAACAUGCACGGCGAACUAAUUCUUUAAUCAUCCUAACGAUGCUCUCCGCGGAAGAAGUACCCCUACAAAAAGUAUAUGCGACAGGUUGCUUCCACGGUUGCACUCCGUCUAUGCCUUUCAACAUCCACACUAUGGCAUGAUCCGCGAUAUCUAAAGAACGCGAAAAACCGGAGUCUACAAAUCCUUCAACUAUGCCCAUUGAAGGAUUUUAGACCAGUGACGGCGAUAACUUAAUUUCGUUGAAAAGCAGAAUAGCGUAUUUGCUUUUCUCGUUUGUAAAGGACUCGGACCGUUCUUCGAGUUCAUGGAAUACGUUGUCGUAAAUUUCAGCUCUUAGUGGAAUGUGCGACAAUAAUUUCCGAAGCGUUUCGAUACUUGGCAAAAGAAAUAAUUUUGACAAAUAUCGAAACGCUUUUGGAUUUUGCUUAUAAAUACUUAAAGCUAGUACCUUUUCCUCUUCCGUGAAGCGUCUUCCGUGGAUGGGUUUUCCCUCGUUGCGCAUUUGGGCGGAAAUCAUCGCGUGCAGGGAUGUAGGCAAGUUUUCCAAAACUUGGCAUACACCCACCUGCACGAGAUGCUCUAUCUUCUUGAUGCGGUCCUUCGUUGCCAUCUGCCGCCGCUUGCACUGCCGCGCUGCCUUCAAUACCGCUGCCACGGCGCUGUAGACUUGUUGCUGCAGGGGCUUCUUCACGAUGUUGUCCUUCAGCAUCUUCAGUAUAUUAUCUACAGAAGGAAACAUACAAUAUAAUUACUCUGUAAAGGAUAUAUCAAGUUAUAUAAAGUAGUAUAUAGUGGUAUAUACUUUACAUGUGUAUUACUGCCAUACCGUAUACACAGUGUAAUUUACACAUGCAAACGCAUAAUAUCGACUGAAGGUGGCGCACUGAGCGCGACCUUAAAUGGAGGAUGUAUAACUCUGAUGCCGGCAGUACACGCUCGCCGAGGCGGUUCGAACGCGAGAUCUCCCGAGGCGAGAGUCCCGAGACCUGAGAUCCGAGAGCAUCGUGUAGACUCUCGCGAGGGCUACCCGUGUACACCUAGUGUCGGCUUCGCUUCCUUUGACUCGUCCUGAAAGCUCGCGUCUAGGCCGAGCGCUCCGAGCACGAGGCGAGAGGACACGAGGCGAGGCGAGACCAUCAAGUACAUGCUCGUGCUCGCCUGGUCUCGGGUCGCCUCGGCGAGCGUGUACUGCAGGUAUGAGAGUACCUCCAGUUACGAGGAAGUGGAUCCGAUUUGGAGUACAUCAAUCCGGGGUAUAUUAUUUCCUUGUACUCGCUAGGAAAAAAUACGUUAAAUAAUGCAGGUAAGAAAUACAUAAAGUAAAAAUUUCAGUUGUAUAUGUUAGCAGCAUUGUAUGAAAAUCAAGUAUUGUAUAGUAUGCCUGGCGUUUUUGAGCAAAGGGUUACGUUGUGCGUGCGACGGCGCAACGUAAAAAGGAAGAGAUGAAAAUAAAGAUGAUUAGUUAGUUAAUAAGAGGAAUGAAUUUCAAUUAGAUAGUUGGAAUACAAUCCCCUAUUUCUUUCUCCCCUAUUCUGGCGCGAUGGUCGGUACAUAUUCGCUGCCACCAGUCUUGAGCGGGUUAGCGUUCUCGACAAAUUAAAAGACGAAAGACGAAAGUUAACGAGAUGUUAGAUUGGGAAGUUUAGAUUAUUAGCCUUUCGUUGGGUUCGAUCAGCGCUCUGGGUCCCGUACGGGUCCCUCCUGGAAUCUGUAUACGUUGGUAAGCGUGGUUUUAAACUGAAAAGUGUUGGAUGUGUUCGAAAUGAAUUAUAAACUGUUUUAGAAAAUGAAACUGGUUUAAUUUUGAAAAGCAAUGAAUAAUUUAUUUUAUUUAUUUUAUUUAUUUAAUAGAACUUCGAACCUACAUUCGGUUCAUAAGUUUUGCAUACAAUGAUUAGCUUAAAACUACAUAAACUUAAACUAAUAUACAUCAAGUAAAUAAUUACAUGCCUUGCGAUAACAAAUUCCUAUAUGCUGGACAAAAUAUUACAUAACUAAAAUGUAAGUUGUGAUUGUCUGACAGAAUAAUGCCUUAUCUGUAAAAUAGCAAGUGUUUGAGUUACGGUUAAAUCUGAAUCUUACUUUCACGCAAAAAAGUUGAUAUAAUUUUUAUUGCAGAUAAAUUCGGCCCUUGUAGGAAAGGUUCGAUUGUCAGAGUUGGUUUCCACCCAUAUCUAGCUAGAUCUUGAAGCAUUUUGUUCCGUGCGUUCGAUAGUAGAGGGCAUUCCCAUAGGAUAUGGUUAAGGUCUUGACAGGAACCCCACAUUCACAGUUGCUGUCUGUAACUAUUCAAACUCUUAAAUUAUAGUGGUUUACCCUAUACCUGGUAACCCAUGAAGUGAUGAAUCUGGGUAGGUGAUAAUUGUGGAACCAAGGCUUCUGCUUGGGUUCAAAAUAAGAAUCAAAAUAUUUGGAGCCUUUUCUGUGGGCUUCCGAAAGCCAUGCCUCCUCGCUUUUUCUCCACAUUUCUUGCUUAAACACAUUCACUAUGUCUGGAUAUGGUAGCUUUUCAUCAGGAUCCGGAAAGCAUUCAGUUGCUUCCUUUGAUGUAGUAUCAGCCAUUUCGUUGCCUGUUAUUCCCCGGUGUGAGGGAACCCACACAAAAGUUAUGGACAAAUGUGGAUGUUGGUGGAAUGCUUGUGCUAGUUUGGAUUUAAUAUUUCUAAUGUAUUGGUUGGUAUUCCUAUCAAAAAUCUUCCCAUCGAUGGCUUGCAGGGCUGACAAUGAAUCUGUGCAGAUGACGUAACUGUGAUUGGAAUUAAGCACAACCUGUUCCACUGCCAUGGAGCGAGCUGCGCACUCUGCUGUAAAUAUAGAUGCUUGGCUGCUUAAAAGCAAUGAAUAACAAAAUAAGAAAAUACCAAAAUUUGAGUUAGAUCUGAAUUAAUUUGGUAAAUACGUUAAUUUUGAAAGAAAACACCAGUUCAUGCAAAAUUAUAACAAGGGUAAAGAUGCUUACUAUUAGUUAACAAAAUAUAUUAUAUCGGUAUAUUAUAUCACCCUGAGAUCACACUUGAAACGAGUUCGAAUAUUGUACCGUCGCGUAACGUGACUGCUAUUUCGUUUCCCUUUUUAAUUCAAGAUUAGAUUUAACGAGAAAUAGGCGGUUCUCGACCGCGAGGGUGCACCCCAGCCAGAGGUACUCUCGUAACCCCGAAGGGACUAAGGUGCCCCUUUUUGAAACAGACAAAGAAAUUGGUAAACGGAAUAGUAACACCAAAAAUAAAUACAAUCAAUCGAUACCUCGUGUGAUGGAACGAUCUGACCUGAGAUACUCUCGUAACCCCCGGUAGGGUUGGACCAGAUCGCCCGUUUUGCCAGUUGAAAAACGUCGUGUUCGAAAAAUGUAAUGGAAUCGACUUACCGAUACGCUGUUCUAUACAAUACAAGAUUUAUAAAUUUCGCUUGUUAAUUCUCUGUAUGUUCGCUCGAUGAUCUGGAACACCAAAGAUCGGUAAGAUUUCUGAUCACGCACUUGUCGCGGCGAAACCAAAUUGUCGGACGAGGACGUCGACGAGAGACAGACACAACGAAUUACAAGAAUCGAACAAUUAAUUAUUUCGCGGAAUGAGUUUAAUACGGAAUUACGCGAACAACGAUUUAAAAACAGAAAGAAAGGACAGAAUAAUAGGUAGGAGGAAAGUUUAACGUGCGCGUCUGAGUCCUUGCUUAGAAUCGGAUUAUUUCAACUCCCACGGCACUCUGCCUCGCUACGCGGAGGUCUUUACCGCAGAGGAAAACUAUCACGUCUGUCGAGCUAGCCCCCCCCACCUUGCAA